AUGAACAGCAGCCUAAAAAUCCUGUUUUUGCUUUGCAGAGGUGCAGCCUCCAGUGUGAGCAGCUGGGAAUUUAGGUAGUGCCUGGAUUACCUUAAAUACUUGGGAAUAACCAGGUUUGCCAGAAAUAAUCACAGUUGGCUGGUUCUGAAGCUCCUGUUUUGUCAUCAGUGAUCGUAACCUGGUCUCUUCAGUGCUCCAAAGACUCCCAGUGCAUUGGUUUAAAGCCAGCAGAAAACAGAUUUAUGUGUACAGAGGAGGUGAGUCCAACUACUUCUACUUGUAGCAUUUUCUGGUUUAUGGUGACUUUUGAUUUUCACAGGGAUUUCAGGGGACAAAUAAGGCAGCAAUAACUGAGUUCUAGCUCAGAAUCCUCAUAAACCAUCAAGCAGAACCAUGUACCAUUGUGAUUUUGCAUUAUUAUCAACCAAAUAAUGUCAUAAAUCAACUAAAUAAUGCCAUAAAUAGGCAAGAUUCUUUAAGCUCAGAAUUCCUUGGCGUUUGGGAUCCCUUUUGCUUUAAAAAUAUUCACUCCAUAAAGCACAUGCACUAAAUUUUGGUGAUUAUCUAUCGAUAAAUAUUCAAGGAUUUAUUGUCAGUCAUCAGUACUUUAAAAAUAACAAGAUGACAGCUUUAAAUAUCCAAACUUCAAUGAUUUUACACAUAUAUUUCAGUUAUUAAAUUCUAUCCAAAAGGAACCUUGAGCUGCUGUCCUUUCAGGUUGUCUUCAGGCUUCUUUUUCACAGUCUGGGGUGGUGGUUCUUCCUCAUCAACUGUUUUAGGAUCUGUGACCUGAAAAUUGAGAAUGUUUGUGGCAACAGCCCAAAGAAAUGAAAGGCUUUAAAAGUCUGGGGGAAAGAAUGAGCAAUAAUUGUCCCUCUAUUAAAACUAAAAUGCUGAAGUUAGGCAUUAUAUAAUAGGCAAGAAGAAAAUAAAUGGUUAAAAGAGAAAAGGAAGCAAAAACCCAGUUAACAGUGGUGUGGUACUAGGGAGUGUUCCUUCUACUUUUAAGGGGAAGAGAGGAAAAGAAAAUUGUGGGAAGUUUGCAGCACAGAAACCUCCUUGUGAGUCUCCAGUGUCUGGGCUGCUCCAUUUCUGGGAGUGGAUGCACCUAAUGACAGAAAAACAACCAGAAACCAUCCCUGGCCAAGCAAUCAGACACUGAUGGAUGACACCCUCCUCCUCUGCCAGGGCCUGAGCAGAAAGAGAUGGCAAAACACAGUAAUAUUGGGAGAAAAGGGCAGGGGGAGCUGCAGGAAUAAAGCAUCCAACACAUGUAACCUGGCAAAAUAAGCUCAGGGGCAAGAACACCUUCACGUGGCCACAGCUGGGGGAGCAGGGUGGGAGCUGCAAAUGUGGGAGCUGCAAAUCUGAUUUGAACCAUUUUUUGCCCAGUGAUGCCCUUGUAAAUACAGCAAUAAUGAACAUUUUCCUUGAAAGCAUCAUUUCCCCCCCCCCCCUUAAUCUAUAAAACUGCAGGAAAACAAUUAUUUUUAAAAUUUUUUUCGACUUAUAUUUGUGCUGUCCCAAACUAUCCUGCCAAGUGACCCCGAUGAGUGGGGCAGUGUCACCACAGCAGGUGACCCACACAGGACCUGCACUGAGAAUACACCUGUGACCAAGAGGAUCAAGAAUUCCAAAUCAGAAUGGUGAAAUCAGUGGGAAGAAAGCGUGGAAGAACCUUUCUGGGAAGCUGAGCCUCUCUGGGGGUGAGAGAUCAGGACCACGAAGAAAAGGUAAGUGGGGUUUAUUGCUGAGUUUGUUGAUCCCAUUGCUCCAAAUGGAAAUGCAGAAAUUAUAAAGCAAAUUAAAACUUUGCACACAGGUUUCCUGAACCGUGGAAAGACCCAGCCCUGCAGGCAGCAGGAUGUUUUUGGUGGAACCAACUGACUCACUGCACUGAUGGUUUCCUGGGCAGUUUUCCAGGUGAGGUGACCAAAGUUUGCUCGUGGGCCAACAAGAUGCUUCCUUCAGGACUUAUUUCACCCCUUCCAACAAGAUGGAGCAAUGAAUUAAGGACAUGAGAGUGCCAACACAAUGGAGUCCUGAUCCCUGGCUCCAAGACUCAGAUAUGAAAGAUUUUCAGAACUCCCCAGACAGCAAACAUAAUCAUAUCAACACAGCUUUAAUUAGCAGCAAUCUGCACUAAUUAUUUUUGCCAUCAGCCAAAUUAUAACUGGAAGAAAACAAGUGCUCUUAAUAGCCCUGCUAGAAGAAAGCCUGUCCACUGUUCCUGUCAGAGGAAUGGAGUCACCACACGCCCUCUGAUGUUGUGUCAACUGUUCAUUAGCCCUGGGAAGCAGAAGUUUCACUCCAAGCACAAAGACCCAGAGGUUUUCCAAGCUUAGAAUUUUCCAUCCCACAACUCCUGGAGCGAUCCAGUGACUCCCACCUUCCCAUUAUGCACGGUAACCACUGGUGUGCUGCGUGUCCCGGAGAGGAGGUGAUUUGAUUUACCCCGGGGGGAAAAUAUGAUUAUUUCCCGUUGCCAUGAGCUGCAGGUGAGACCAGCAGUGCUAACCCUGACACCUGGACAGACACCUGCCUGUCCCUCACAGCCCUGAGAGCAAAGCCUGGGGCGGGCAAGGAAGGUGGAAUCUCGCUGGGAAUUGCCUCUCCCUCCACAGUGUCCAUGAGGGAGGUGAGACCCUGCCUGCAACCCCUGCCCCAGGUCCCUCGGGGGCCGAAGCAGGACCUCAGUCCCUGGAGAAAAGCCAGGCCAGGUGUGUGUUCCCCGAGGUGUCCCCA